CCUACGGGAGGCAGCAGUGAGGAAUAUUGGUCAAUGGGCGGAAGCCUGAACCAGCCAAGUAGCGUGCAGGAUGACGGCCCUACGGGUUGUAAACUGCUUUUAUGCGGGAAUAACGCGCCUUACGUGUAGGGCUUUGCAUGUACCUUGUGAAUAAGGACCGGCUAAUUCCGUGCCAGCAGCCGCGGUAAUACGGAAGGUCCGGGCGUUAUCCGGAUUUAUUGGGUUUAAAGGGAGCGUAGGCCGGAUGGCAAGCCUGCUGUGAAAUGUCCGGGCUCAACCCGGGCCUUGCAGCGCGAACUGGCGGGCUGGAGUGCGCGGAAAGUAGGCGGAAUUCGUCGUGUAGCGGUGAAAUGCUUAGAUAUGACGAAGAACCCCGAUUGCGAAGGCAGCUUGCUGCAGCGGAACUGACGCUGAGGCUCGAAAGCGCGGGUAUCGAACAGGAUUAGAUACCCCUGUAGUC
rnacentral:rRNA from 1 species